rnacentral:rRNA from 1 species
CCUACGGGGGGCUGCAGUGGGGAAUAUUGCGCAAUGGGCGAAAGCCUGAAGCAGCGACGCCGCGUGAGGGAUGAAGGUCUUAGGAUCGUUAAACCCUGUCAGCAGGGAAGAACGGUCACUGUGCUAAUCAGCCGUGAAUUGACGGUACCUGCAAAGGAAGCACCGGCUAACUCCGUGCCAGCAGCCGCGGUCAUACGGAGGGUGCGAGCGUUAAUCGGAAUUACUGGGCGGAAAGCGCUCGUAGGCGGUAUUUCAAGUCAAGGGGUAAAACCUCACGAUCAACGUGGGUACUGCCGUUGAAACUGGCAAACUUGAGUGUGCGAGAAGAUAGUGGAAUGCCAGGUGUAGGAGUGAAAUCCGUAGAUAUCUGGAAGAACACCAGUUGCGAAGGCGACUAUCUGGCACAUAACUGACGCUGAGGAGCGAAAGCGUGGGUAUCGAACAGGAUUAGAUACCCGUGUAGUC